rnacentral:snRNA from 1 species
UGGGCUUUUCAGCCUUUUGGCUAAGAUCAAGUGUAGUAUCUGUUCUUAUCAGUUUAAUAUAUUUUAUUUUUGAUGGACAUGAAAUUUCUAGUCUGUUUGGGUCAUGAAAACUU